rnacentral:sRNA from 1 species
AUGGGAUGAGAGGCAGUCACCGUCUAGGGCAGGGAUCACAAACAGAGGCCAUUUCGACCAAAUGUGCUGCUUGUUCGUCUGGUCUGGGUUCUGGCUGAUCCUUGUUCAGAACCAAGGAUCCUGGUUGCCUUGCCAAAUGUCUUUAGUUUUGUUCCUGUGCGCCUUUGUGCAAGAGUGAGAUUAUUCUUUUCCAACAGAGUGGCUGGGACAGGAUUCCCAGAACCCUGUUCCCAUCUCAAGAGAGAUUUUGAAACCAAGUCUUGCUCUAGAACCCCUGAGGAAUCAUGCACAUGGAUGACUAAAACAAAAACAUACUGUCAAACACAUUAUCGAAAUAUUUGCUUUAUGGAAUCAUACACCAUUAUCAAUCGCAUUCUUCUUUCUAGUUUCUUGUGACGUGGUGAAUGGCAUUGCCAUACAAGGAACCUUUUUAUAUAUAUAAAUAGCAAACUAUGUAAGGAGCAGAG